UGUGUGUACAGUACAUGCUACAAGGUAGACAGACAGAUUGGUAGACAGACAAACAUGUAAUUAUACGUCAGAUGAACGGGAGUAUUAACUAGCUUGUUUAGAUACGUCACGUACGUGCUGCGCUCUGGCGGCGAAUAGCAGAGGCUUCCUUGGGGUGGAGUGAGGAACCACCAGUCGGCCCGGGACAUAGCAACUGUACACUUAAGCCUUUGUUUUGAACCUGCGAACACCUUAUCCCUUCGCUUCUACAUUUCACAGCGCCGGAGAGUCGUUAGAAUUGAUCAUGGUGUUUGUCACUUGUCAUGUCAGCUGGCAACCAGUCUGUCAGCCAGUCUGUCAGCCAGCCAGGCAACCAGCCAGCCAGCCAGUCAGUCAGUCAGUCAGUCCGUCAGUCAGCAAGCCACCUCCCCAGGAUUGAUGGGAAGGUCAUGUCAUUUCAUACUUUUCCACACAGGAUAACGAAGGUGCAUGUUGCGUCUGUUGUUUGUAUUGUUUGCUUAUUUACGGACAUGUAUAUAUAAUCUACCAUGUUCUGAUUGAUCAUUGUGUGUGUGUGUGUGUGUGUGUGUGUGUGUGUGUGUGUGUGUGUGUGUGUGUAGAUAAGAAACAGGUAAGCUUCUGAAAAGUUAAGCAAAGUUACAAGGAAAGAAAAAAAAAUCUAACAUUGGUCCAUAAUUAUCAUGAGACAGACAGACAAACAAACAAGCGAAGACACAGACAGACAGAGAGAUAGAGACAGAGAAAAAGGGACAGAGAUAGACAGACGGACAGGCAGGCAGACAGAGACUAACCCAAACAUGCACAGAGAAGAACAAGCCAAAGCCAGAAGAGUAAUCACAAUAUUGAAACUCAUUCAGCUUUAUCAAAUCUUGGACUAGCGGCGUGAUUCGUGUAAUUGUGAGAGAAAGGAAGCACUUCUCUGAUGGUUCUGUCCUCGCUAAUCGCUCUGAGCUCCGAGGCAAAGCUGGGAAUCAAAUAUUUAGAAGCCUCUACUUGGCGAAUAUGAAACGCUGCUGGAAAUUCAGUAAUACAGCGUUCCUCUUACUGUGGCGGUGGCGUUGGUGAUAGUGUGUGGUGGUGGUGGUGGUGAUGAUAGUGCGGUGGUGUGUGGUGGUGAUGGUGUAGUGGUGUGUGGUGAUGGAUGGUGCGUGAGAGUAGUGGUUCAUCCUUCAUCGGGGAGUAAUGAUGAUCCCACCUGCUGUCUGGAAGGAAAGUGACUGAUGGAGGAAUGGUGUUAGUCUGUCCCUAGCCUGUGUUUAGUCCUCAUUGUCUUUUGACGGUGGUGGUGUG